rnacentral:rRNA from 1 species
UAGGGGAGCGUUCUGUAAGCCGAUGAAGGUGUGUUGAGAAGCAUGCUGGAGGUAUCAGAAGUGCGAAUGCUGACGUGAGUAACGACAAAACGGGUGAAAAACCCGUUCGCCGAAAGACCAAGGGUUCCAGUCCAACGUUAAUCGGGGCUGGGUGAGUCGACCCCUAAGGCGAGGCCGAAAGGCGUAGUCGAUGGGAAAAUGGUUAAUAUUCCAUUACUUCUGUGUAAUGCGAUGAGAGGACGGAGAAGGCUAAAUCAGCCUGGCGUUGGUUGUCCAGGUGAAAGGAUGUAGGCAUGUAUCUUAGGCAAAUCCGGGGUACUCUAUGCUGAGAUCUGAUAGCAAGCUGUACUUGUACAGCGAAGUGGUUGAUGCCAUGCUUCCAGGAAAAGUCUCUAAGCUUCAGUUACACAGGAAUCGUACCCGAAACCGACACAGGUGGUCAGGUCGAGUAGACCAAGGCGCUUGAGAGAACUCUGCUGAAGGAACUAGGCAAAAUGGUACCGUAACUUCGGGAGAAGGUACGCUGUUGUUGGUGAUGGAACUCGCUUCCUGAGCUGACGACAGCCGCAGAAACCAGGCCGCUGCAACUGUUUAUUAAAAACAUAGCACUCUGCAAACACGAAAGUGGACGUAUAGGGUGUGAUGCCUGCCCGGUGCUGGAAGGUUAAUUGAUGGGGUUAGCGUAAGCGAAGCUCUUGAUCGAAGCCCCAGUAAACGGCGGCCGUAACUAUAACGGUCCUAAGGUAGCGAAAUUCCUUGUCGGGUAAGUUCCGACCUGCACGAAUGGCAUAAUGAUGGCGGCGCUGUCUCCAGCAGAGGCUCAGUGAAAUCGAAAUCGCUGUGAAGAUGCAGUGUACCCGCGGCUAGACGGAAAGACCCCGUGAACCUUUACUGCAGCUUGACACUGAACUUUGACCUUACUUGUGUAGGAUAGGUGGGAGGCUUUGAAGCUGGAACGCUAGUUCCAGUGGAGCCGUCCUUGAAAUACCACCCUGGUAAUGUUGAGGUUCUAACUCUGUCCCGUGAUCCGGGACGAGGACCGUGUCUGGUGGGUAGUUUGACUGGGGCGGUCUCCUCCUAAAGAGUAACGGAGGAGUACGAAGGUGCGCUCAGCGUGGUCGGAAAUCACGCGUAGAGUAUAAAGGCAAAAGCGCGCUUAACUGCGAGACCCACAAGUCGAGCAGGUACGAAAGUAGGUCUUAGUGAUCCGGUGGUUCUGUAUGGAAGGGCCAUCGCUCAACGGAUAAAAGGUACUCUGGGGAUAACAGGCUGAUACCGCCCAAGAGUUCAUAUCGACGGCGGUGUUUGGCACCUCGAUGUCGGCUCAUCUCAUCCUGGGGCUGAAGCAGGUCCCAAGGGUAUGGCUGUUCGCCAUUUAAAGAGGUACGCGAGCUGGGUUUAGAACGUCGUGAGACAGUUCGGUCCCUAUCUACCGUGGGCGCUGGAAAUUUGAGAGGAUCUGCUCCUAGUACGAGAGGACCAGAGUGGACGAACCUCUGGUGUACCGGUUGUGACGCCAGUCGCAUCGCCGGGUAGCUAUGUUCGGAAGGGAUAACCGCUGAAAGCAUCUAAGCGGGAAGCCUACCUCAAGAUAAGAUUUCCCUAGGACUUUAUGUCCUCUAAAGAGCCGUUCGAGACUAGGACGUUGAUAGGUUGGAUGUGGAAGCAUAGUGAUAUGUGAAGCUGACCAAUACUAAUUGCUCGUGAGGCUUGACUAU